CUGCCAGGUGUGGUGGCACAUGCCUGUAGUCCUAGCUACUCAGGAGGCUGCAGCAGGAGAAUUGUUUGAGCCCAGGAGUUCUGGGCUGUAGUAUGCCAGGCCGAUCAGGUGUCCACAAAAAGCUCAGCAUCAGUAUCCUGGGAAUGGAGGACCACUAGGUUGUCUAGGGAGGAAUGAACCAGCCCAGGCUGGAAAUGGAGCAGGUUAAAACUUCCAUGCUAGCCAGGUGCGGUGGCUCACCCCUGUAGUCUAGCACUUUGGGAGGCUGUCAUGGGAGGAUCCCUUGAGCCUAGGAGUUCGAGAUGAGCCUGAGCAACAUAGGGAGACCCUGUCUCUACGAAAAAUUUUUAAAAAUUAGCCAGGCAUGGUAGUACACACCUGUAUUCCUAGCUACUGGGGAGGCUGAGGCAGGAGGACCACUUGAGCCCAGGAUUUCUGGGCUGUGGUAUGCUAUUCUGAUCUGGUGUCUUCACUAAACUCAGCAUCAAUAUGGUAAUCUCCUGGGAGCAGGAGACCACCAGGUUUCCUAAGGAAGAGUGAACCAGCCCAGCUCAGAAACAGAGCAAAUAAAAACUCCCAUGCUGAUCAGUAGUAGGAUCGCUCCGUGAAAAGCCACUGCACUUCCAGCCAGGGUCACAUAGCAAGACCCCACCUUAAAAAAAAAAAACAAACCCGAAAACCGGAGCUGGGGAAGGCCAUGAAGGGAAGGUUCUCAUGUGUGAUGCCUGAUAGCAAAACCCAUCAUGAGACUGCAAAAACUAUAACCCUGUACAACGGCUAUCAUCACCAGAGUGAUAUAGUUUUUGCAGUCUCAUCACCUUACACACAGAAAAUACUUCUGUGAACACAUCUACCCAGCAGCUGCUUGUCCAAAUUUGGACUGAUGCCACCUUUGUUAUUAAUCCUUGUAGCCAAGAAUAAUUACCUGAAAACAAUUAUGUAAUUCUCAUUUUUUCUUUAAAAACUUUUCUCAGCCGGGCACAGUGGUUCACACCUGUAAUCCCAG
rnacentral:lncRNA from 1 species